CAGGAUGGAGUACAGAUAAGGAGCCUUUCUAAGGAGACCACCCGUUAUAAUCAUCCCAAGCCCAACCUGCUGUAUCAGAAGUUUGUGAAGAUGGCUACAUUGACUUCAGGUGGAGAGAAGCCAAACAAAGACUUGGAGAGCUGCAGUGAUGACGACAACCAGGGGCCCAAGUCCCCAAAGAUGUGAGACUUCAUUUUAGCUCUUGGGGAAUGUGGGAGGAGAUGUCCUCAGAUGGCAAGAGAAAGGGCUAAAUCUAAUGCUUGACUGGGGGCUUCUUGGGGGUGGGUGGAACUGUGUUGUACUAAUCUUUGUAUCCCUAGUACCUCAAAAAGUGCCAGGUCCUGAACAAGAACUCAGUGUUGAAGGAAUGUUUUAGAAGGAGGAGAGGUCAAGCCCUUCCACCAGGUCUGUUUGUAACUGCCGAUCUCCCCUAACAGUCUGACUGAUGAGAUGCUGCUCCAAGCCUGUGAGGGGCGAACAGCACACAAGGCUGCCCGUCUUGGGAUCACGAUGAAGGCCAAACUUGCUCGCCUAGAGGCCCAGGAGCAGGCCUUCCUGGCUCGUCUCAAAGGCCAGGACCCUGGGGCCCCUCAACCGCAGUCAGAGAGCAAGCCCCCCAGAAAAAAGAAAAAGAAAAAGAAACAGAAAGAGGAGGAAGAAGCUACAGCAUCUGAAAGGAAUGAUGCAGAUGAGAAGCACCCAGAACAUGCUGAGCAGAACAUCAGAAAAAGCAAGAAGAA
rnacentral:sRNA from 1 species